AGAAGGUGUCCAUGUAACAGCACGUUCGAUGGAGCGGAAGGUGUGAUGUGCACUGUGCAUUUUGGCUUUUGUGAGCCUCACUGCCCGAGUAGAAAGCGAGGAGACAGGCACU
rnacentral:lncRNA from 1 species